rnacentral:rRNA from 1 species
GUCAAGUCCUCAUGGCCCUUAUGGCCAGGGCUACACACGUGCUACAAUGGCCGGUACAAACCGUUGCCAACCCGCGAGGGGGAGCUAAUCGGAAAAAGCCGGUCGUAGUCCGGAUUGGAGUCUGCAACUCGACUCCAUGAAGUCGGAAUCGCUAGUAAUCGUGGAUCAGCAUUGCCACGGUGAAUACGUUCCCGGGCCUU